UCUCUCAGUGCUGGCGGUGGAUCAGACUGUUCUCUGUUAACACUUUGUCUGUGCCCAAACAUACACAGACAAGUAAACAAGACAUUCUUAUGGCAUGACAGGUCAAGCUCUGCUUGCUAGGGCCAAACAGCAUCAAUGACCCCUGUGAACUUCAUGAAGAAUUUCUUCAGUUUACAUUGUGGGAGAAAGUAUGCUAGCUGAACAGAGCACAGCUAAAGAGUUUUUCACCAACAAAAUUCAGAUGACCCAGAGGAUGAAGUGGUGGUGCCAGAGAUCCAAUGUUCCUUACCAGACUAGAAUCUUGCUAUUCUGCAUGGAUUAAUAUAUCCAUUGACAUCACCUUUGAAAGGCCUGGAGUUCCAGACAAAAUUUACCACUUUCACCAUUAAUUAAAUUGUACUUGACAGUGAAAUGUACAGUAUAGGAACACUGAAUAAAUGAA